ACACUUCAUGACUGACAGCUGUCUGUACUUCACAGCGACAGACACCAACAAGCUAUGGCGUCUAUCAGCAUCUUCAUUGUGGUCUUUGCCUUUUUCUAUCAAGAAUCCAGUGGUCAGGUCACUGUGACUCAGACUCCUGCAGUAAAGGCUGUUCUCCAUGGACAGACUGUCACUAUGAGCUGUAAAGUCAGUCCGGCUGUACAUAACAAUAAUCAUUUAGCCUGGUAUCUACAGAAACCUGGAGAAGCUACUAAACUCCUAAUAUAUCUAGCAAAUAGCCGUUACUCUGGGAUUCCGUCUCGAUUCAGUGGCAGCGGAUCUAGUACUGACUUCACUCUGACCAUCAGUGGAGUCCAGGCUGAAGAUGCAGGAGAUUAUUACUGUCAGAGUUACCACUACCUCAAUAAUAAACGUGUGUUCACUUUCGGCGGUGGGACCAGACUGGAUGUUGGCAGUAACAGAGCCCCCACCCUGACGGUCCUGCCCCCCUCCAGUGUGGAGGUGUCCAGCAAGAACACGGCCACCCUGAUGUGCCUGGCCAACAGGGGCUUCCCCUCCGACUGGAAGCUGAGCUGGAAGGUGGACGGUAACAGCAAAUACUCAGAGACGAGCCGCGGGCUCCUGGAGAAGGACGGCCUGUCCAGCUGGAGCAGCAGCCUGAGCCUCACUGCGGACGAGUGGAAGAAGGCGGGCUCAGUGGUCUGUGAGGCCCAUCAGGGCUGCCAGGCUCCUGUCACUCAGACGCUGAAGAGGGCCGACUGUUCAGAGUAGAUGAGCUCAGCGUCACCUGUGCUGAGUGGCUGAUUACUGUGUAUUUACUGUGCUGUGCUACAUGCUUCUGAUUUACUGAUUACAUGGAGAAAAUAACGUGCUUUGCUUGAUUCCUGAGUGAAAAUCAUUACUGAUGUUUUAUUAGUCUUUGUGUCUCCCUGUAUUAUCUUUUGUGUUUUGUACCUUGAAUGCUGCAGAGAUAAAUAAAUUUUUCAUUCUGUCUGACAAACUAA